rnacentral:rRNA from 1 species
CGUAACAAGGUCUCCGUUGGUGAACCAGCGGAGGGAUCAUUACCGAGUUUACAACUCCCAAACCCCUGUGAACAUACCACUUGUUGCCUCGGCGGAUCAGCCCGCUCCCGGUAAAACGGGACGGCCCGCCAGAGGACCCCUAAACUCUGUUUCUAUAUGUAACUUCUGAGUAAAACCAUAAAUAAAUCAAAACUUUCAACAACGGAUCUCUUGGUUCUGGCAUCGAUGAAGAACGCAGCAAAAUGCGAUAAGUAAUGUGAAUUGCAGAAUUCAGUGAAUCAUCGAAUCUUUGAACGCACAUUGCGCCCGCCAGUAUUCUGGCGGGCAUGCCUGUUCGAGCGUCAUUUCAACCCUCAAGCACAGCUUGGUGUUGGGACUCGCGUUAAUUCGCGUUCCCCAAAUUGAUUGGCGGUCACGUCGAGCUUCCAUAGCGUAGUAGUAAAACCCUCGUUACUGGUAAUCGUCGCGGCCACGCCGUUAAACCCCAACUUCUGAAUGUUGACCUCGGAUCAGGUAGGAAUACCCGCUGAACUUAAGCAUAUCAUA